UGAAAAGUGUCUUCCUUUCUUCAAUGACCGGCCGUGGAGGAGGGCAACUGCAGAAAGUGCCAGUGAAUGCCUGCCCUGUGACUGCAAUGGUCGAUCCCAGGAAUGCUACUUCGAUCCUGAACUCUAUCGUUCCACUGGCCAUGGGGGCCACUGUACCAACUGCCAGGAUAACACAGAUGGCGCCCACUGUGAGAGGUGCCGGGAGAACUUCUUCCGCCUUGGAAACAAUGAAGCCUGCUCUCCAUGCCACUGUAGUCCUGUGGGCUCUCUAAGCACACAGUGUGAUAGUUAUGGCAGAUGCAGCUGUAAGCCAGGAGUGAUGGGGGACAAAUGUGACCGUUGCCAGCCUGGAUUCCAUUCUCUCACUGAAGCAGGAUGCAGGCCAUGCUCUUGUGAUCCCUCUGGCAGCAUAGAUGAAUGUAAUGUUGAAACAGGAAGAUGUGUUUGCAAAGACAAUGUCGAAGGCUUCAAUUGUGAAAGAUGCAAACCUGGAUUUUUUAAUCUGGAAUCAUCUAAUCCUCGGGGUUGCACACCCUGCUUCUGCUUUGGGCAUUCUUCUGUCUGUACAAAUGCUGUUGGCUACAGUGUUUAUUCUAUCUCCUCUACCUUUCAGAUUGGUAAUUUAGACCUCAUCCCCCAACCUGUUAGAACUGUGAGACUACACUUAAAAUAUUUUUAAAAAUAAAAUCAGUAAUUCUUU
rnacentral:sRNA from 1 species